rnacentral:rRNA from 1 species
AACGAACGCUGGCGGCGUGCUUAACACAUGCAAGUCGCACGAGAAAGUCCUUCGGGACAAGUAAAGUGGCAAACGGGUGAGUAACACGUGGGCAACCUGCCUGUAAGACUGGGAUAACUCCGGGAAACCGGAGCUAAUACCGGAUACUAUGUCAAACCGCAUGGUUUGACAUUCAAAGACGGUUUCGGCUGUCACUUACAGAUGGGCCCGCGGCGCAUUAGCUAGUUGGUGAGGUAACGGCUCACCAAGGCGACGAUGCGUAGCCGACCUGGGAGGGUGAUCGGCCACACUGGGACUGAGACACGGCCCAGACUCCUACGGGAGGCAGCAGUAGGGAAUCUUCCGCAAUGGACGAAAGUCUGACGGAGCAACGCCGCGUGAGUGAUGAAGGUUUUCGGAUCGUAAAACUCUGUUGUCAGGGAAGAACAAGUGCCGGAGUAACUGCCGGCGCCUUGACGGUACCUGACCAGAAAGCCACGGCUAACUACGUGCCAGCCGCCGCCGUAACAC